UACGGAGGUUGCGAGCGUUGUUCGGAAUCACUGGGCUUAAAGCGCAUGUAGGCGGCUCAUCAAGUGCUUUGUGAAAUCCCUCGGCUCAACCGAGGAAUUGCUUGGCAUACUGUUCGAGCUUGAGGCAGGUAGGGGCGCGUGGAACUCUUGGUGGAGCGGUGGAAUGCGUAGAUAUCAAGAGGAACGCCGGUGGCGAAAGCGGCGCGCUGGGCCUGUCCUGACGCUGAGAUGCGAAAGCCAGGGGAGCAAACGGG
rnacentral:rRNA from 1 species